rnacentral:sRNA from 1 species
CUUCACACUACAUCCUCGCGACUAAUGACAAUCCUUAACCCUCUCAUUGGGAUUAAAGUCUCUCAUUAGCCGCGCGAACCUCUGUAACGGAAGAUCUCGCAAACAAACUACUCUUUUAAAACUCUACUUUUUUAUAAAAUCGGGUCUGUAGACCCUGCAUUACACACUUUUAUUUAUAAAAAAGUAGCGUAGAAACAACAGACUUGCCAGUAAAAGCUUUUCUGUCGCUUCCUAGAAUAAAGGGGCCAACUUGGCCCCUUUAC